rnacentral:rRNA from 1 species
GCUAGCGCCUCAGAGAUAGAGAUGCGAGGUGAGCCCUGCCCAAUGAACGGUUAACUUCGUGUUUCAAUGGCCGCAGUACCCUGACUGUGCUAAGGUAGCAUAAUCAGUUGGCUUUUAAAUGGAGUCUGGUAUGAAGGGGUCCACGUGGAUAAGCUGUCUCCAGUGUGCUUGUGAGAAGUUAGUUAGUGGGUGAAAAUACCCACAAAAAUAGAAAAGACGAGAAGACCCUUAGAGUUUUACCUUUGUUUAAGGCUACGUAAGUUUUGGGCUGAUAAAUCAAGCCCAGCCUUGUGAUAAGUUUAAGCUUGAGGUUUUGCUGGGGCGGCAAAGAUACAUGUUAUAAACUAUCUCGAUGUGAUAAAGUACCAGCCGAGUAUUCUGCUCCCUUUACUAAAAGGAUUUGCUCACUUGAAUAUUUGUGGGCUCCUGGCUUCUAGGUCAAGCAGAUAGCAGUGCUAAGUUCGAUUAAACUACCUUAGGGAUAACAGCAUUAUUUUAUAUAAAGUUUGUGACCUCGAUGUUGGACUAGGGACCCUUAGGCUAGACGCCUCUUAGGCAGU